UAUUAAUGUGGUGAUUCCCCGUGGUAGCCUUGCCGCCGUUGUUGGCACUGUCGGCUCCGGGAAGUCGUCAUUUUUGGCGUGCCUGCUCGGUGAGAUGUACCGAUUUGCUGGCAAGGUGAGGGUGUGCGGGAGCACGGCUUACGUAGCACAGACAGCAUGGAUCCAGAAUGGGACUAUCCAGGAGAAUAUUCUGUUCGGUACGCCCUUGGACAGGG
rnacentral:misc_RNA from 1 species